UCCGUAGGUGACCUGCGGAAGGAUCAUUACCGAGUUGAUUCGGGCUCCGUCCCGAUCCUCCCACCCUUUGUAUACCUACCUCUGUUGCUUUGGCGGGCCGCGGUCUUCCGCGGCCGCCCCCCGAUUUUGGGGGGUGGCUAGUGCCCGCCAGAGGACUAUCAAACUCCAGUCAGUAAACGUUGCAGUCUGAAAAAAAUAUUAAAUAAACUAAAACUUUCAACAACGGAUCUCUUGGUUCUGGCAUCGAUGAAGAACGCAGCGAAAUGCGAUAAGUAAUGUGAAUUGCAGAAUUCAGUGAAUCAUCGAAUCUUUGAACGCACAUUGCGCCCCUUGGUAUUCCGGGGGGCAUGCCUGUUCGAGCGUCAUUUCAACCCUCAAGCUCUGCUUGGUAUUGGGCACCGUCCUUUGCGGGCGCGCCUCAAAGACCUCGGCGGUGGCGUCUUGCCUCAAGCGUAGUAGAAUACACCUCGCUUCGGAGCGUAAGGCGUCGCCCGCCGGACGAACCUUCUGAACUUUUCUCAAGGUUGACCUCGGAUCAGGUAGGGAUACCCGCUGAACUUAAGCAUAUCAAUA
rnacentral:rRNA from 1 species